GACGAACGCUGGCGGCGUGCUUAACACAUGCAAGUCGAACGAUGAAGCCGGAGCUUGCUCUGGUGAAUUAGUGGCGAACGGGUGAGUAACACGUGAGUAACCUGCCCUUGACUCUGGGAUAACUGCGGGAAACUGUAGCUAAUACCGGAUACGACCCUCGGAGGCAUCUCCUGGGGGUGGAAAGAAUUUCGGUCAAGGAUGGACUUGCGGCCUAUCAGCGAGUGGGUGAGGUAAAGGCCCACCAAGGCGACGGCGGGUAGCCGGCCUGAGAGGGUGACCGGCCACACUGGGACUGAGACACGACCCAGACUCCUACGGGAAGCAGCAGUGGGGAAUAUUGCACAAUGGGCGCAAGCCUGAUGCAGCAACGCCGCGUGAGGGAUGACGGCCUUCGGGUUGUAAACCUCUUUUAGCAGGGAAGAAGCGAAAGUGACGGUACCUGCAGAAAAAGCACCGGCUAACUACGUGCCAGCAGCCGCCGUAA
rnacentral:rRNA from 1 species